AGAGAGACUGCUCCAUUAAAAGAAAAAGAAAUAGGCAUCUUCCACAGGCUUUAGAUCGUCUCACUUGGAGGAUCUGAAAUACUUCUGCCUGGUUACCAUUGCGUAUGCCUUAGAUGAAUACCAUACUAGUUUUCCUAUUCUCGUUGAAUCGGAAGCUUCCUUUCCUAAGAAGGAGGGGAGCUUUUAGCAGGACAUCAUCUCAUCUAGUGGGAUAUGAUGAGACUUGCCAACUGUUACAUAAUCCGAUGCUAUUGAAUCAUAUAUGAACAUAUAUAUAAGAUGUCGAGAAUCUGCUACAUUGCCUGGCUUUCUUUGAGUUGAGAAAGGGGAAAACGAAGGCCUAACAAACUAAGUAUGAAUAGGAUUGGACUUGACCUUCUUCUGGUCUAGUCUUUCCCGGGCUGCUUGCUUGAGGCAGCGAGUGACUCGAAGGUGAAAGUGAAAAAAAAAAAACUUACAUUGAAUUAUAUGUCCUUAGGGACUAAUAGGAGAAUGCAAAUAAUAGGUCCUAUUAUUUUAGCCAAAUCCAGGUUUUGAGUUGACUUCUAGUUCUGGACCGAUGGGAACUCCUACUCAUAAA
rnacentral:lncRNA from 1 species